rnacentral:rRNA from 1 species
CGUAGGCAGCGAGCGUUGUUCGGAGUUACUGGGCGUAAAGAGUGCGUAGGCGGUUGGCUAAGUUUGGUGUGAAAUCUCCCGGCUCAACUGGGAGGGUGCGCCGAAAACUGGCUGGCUGGAGUGUGGGAGAGGCUAGCGGAAUUCCUGGUGUAGCGGUGAAAUGCGUAGAUAUCAGGAGGAACACCUGCGGUGUAGACGGCUGGCUGGACCACUACUGACGCUGAGGCACGAAAGCGUGGGGAGCAAACAGGAUUAGAUACCCUGGUAGUCCACGCCCUAAACGAUGCAUACUUAGUGUGGGCAGUUCAUUCUGUCCGUGCCGGAGCUAACGCGUUAAGUAUGCCGCCUGGGGAGUACGGUCGCAAGGCUG